GUGGGGAAUAUUGGACAAUGGGGGGAACCCUGAUCCAGCCAUGCCGCGUGUGUGAAGAAGGCCUUUUGGUUGUAAAGCACUUUAAGCGAGGAGGAGGCUACCGAGAUUAAUACUCUUGGAUAGUGGACGUUACUCGCAGAAUAAGCACCGGCUAACUCUGUGCCAGCAGCCGCGGUAAUACAGAGGGUGCAAGCGUUAAUCGGAUUUACUGGGCGUAAAGCGCGCGUAGGUGGCUAAUUAAGUCAAAUGUGAAAUCCCCGAGCUUAACUUGGGAAUUGCAUUCGAUACUGGUUGGCUAGAGUAUGGGAGAGGAUGGUAGAAUUCCAGGUGUAGCGGUGAAAUGCGUAGAGAUCUGGAGGAAUACCGAUGGCGAAGGCAGCCAUCUGGCCUAAUACUGACACUGAGGUGCGAAAGCAUGGGGAGCAAACAGGAUUAGAAACCCUGGUAGUCC
rnacentral:rRNA from 1 species